GACGGAGGGGGCUAGCGUUGUUCGGAAUGACUGGGCGUAAAGGGCGCGUAGGUGGUUUUUUAAGUGAGGCGUGAAAGCCCUGGGCUUAACCCAGGAGGUGCGUUUCAUACUGAAAGACUUGAGUACGAGAGAGGAAAGCGGAAUUCCUAGUGUAGAGGUGAAAUUCGUAGAUAUUAGGAAGAACACCAGUGGCGAAGGCGGCUUUCUGGCUCGUAACUGACGCUGAGGCGCGAAAGCGUGGGGAGCAAACAGG
rnacentral:rRNA from 1 species